UCGGGAAUUUUGGGCAAUGGGCGAAAGCCUGACCCAGCAACGCCGCGUGAAGGAUGAAGUAUUUCGGUAUGUAAACUUCGUAAGAAUAGGAAGAAUAAAUGACGGUACUAUUUGUAAGGUCCGGCUAACUACGUGCCAGCAGCCGCGGUAAUACGUAGGGUGCGAGCGUUAAUCGGAAUUACUGGGCGUAAAGCGUGCGCAGGCGGCUUUGCAAGACAGAUGUGAAAUCCCCGGGCUCAACCUGGGAACUGCAUUUGUGACUGCAAGGCUAGAGUACGGUAGAGGGGGAUGGAAUUCCGCGUGUAGCAGUGAAAUGCGUAGAUAUGCGGAGGAACACCGAUGGCGAAGGCAAUCCCCUGGACCUGUACUGACGCUCAUGCACGAAAGCGUGGGGAGCAAACAGGAUUAGAUACCCAAGUAGUCCCUGAGCGGGCUGGCAAGGCGCAU
rnacentral:rRNA from 1 species